AAGACAUUAGUAAAACUAUUACAAGGUCUUGUCAAGACCUAAUCAUAAAUUAAAACCUUAUAUGUCUUA
rnacentral:tRNA from 1 species